rnacentral:rRNA from 1 species
UACGUAGGGUGCAAGCGUUGUCCGGAAUUAUUGGGCGUAAAGAGCUCGUAGGCGGUCUGUCGCGUCUGCUGUGAAAACUCAGGGCUUAACCCUGAGCUUGCAGUGGGUACGGGCAGACUAGAGUGCGGUAGGGGAGACUGGAAUUCCUGGUGUAGCGGUGAAAUGCGCAGAUAUCAGGAGGAACACCGGUGGCGAAGGCGGGUCUCUGGGAAUAUCCUGACGCUGAGGAGCGAAAGUGUGGGGAGCGAACAGG